rnacentral:rRNA from 1 species
GCGGAAUAUUGCGCAAUGGGGGCAACCCUGACGCAGCGACGCCGCGUGAGUGAGGAAGGCCUUCGGGUCGUAAAGCUCUGUCAAAGGGGAAGAAGUGCAUGGUGGUUAAUAUCUGUCAUGUUUGACGGUACCCUUAAAGGAAGCACCGGCUAACUCCGUGCCAGCAGCCGCGGUAAUACGGAGGGUGCAAGCGUUGUUCGGAAUCACUGGGCGUAAAGGGCGCGCAGGCGGUUUGAAUAGUCAGAUGUGAAAGCCACGGCUUAACCGUGGAAGUGCAUUUGAAACUGUCAGACUUGAGUACCAGAGGGGAAAGUGGAAUUCCCGGUGUAGAGGUGAAAUUCGUAGAUAUCGGGAGGAAUACCGGUGGCGAAGGCGACUUUCUGGCUGGAGACUGACGCUGAGGCGCGAAAGCGUGGGGAGCAAAC